GGUGAAGAAGAUGAUGAACGGGAUGAUGAAGAGCCCUUUGUUCAUAGAAGAGUUGUUGCAAAGCCCCCUUCAAGAAGCUCAUCAGCCUAUGAAGAUGAAAGCCUUACACUAUUGUGGGCAGAGAGCCCCUUGGACCAGGAACUUAUGAGGUUCUUGUCAAUGUUGCGAUCAGAAGGGAUGCUACUUUGCCUUUUGAAGAUGAAGGUUUACAAAUUAUCGCUGAUGUUGUCACAAGGUCCAUCGCAUGGCCAUCUAGCAAGAUGAAACCCUACAAACCUGGGGCAUGUUCCUCGUCCCGCCGCUAAGG